GUGUCAGCCGCCGCGGUAAUACGUAGGUCGCAAGCGUUGUCCGGAUUUACUGGGCGUAAAGCGCGCGCAGGCGGACUGAUCAGUCCGGGGUGAAAUCUCACGGCUCAACUGUGAGCGGUCCCCGGAUACUGUCAGCCUUGAGGGGUCUAGAGGAGAGCGGAAUUCCCGGUGUAGUGGUGGAAUGCGUAGAUAUCGGGAAGAACACCAGUGGCGAAAGCGGCUCUCUGGGGACCAUCUGACGCUGAGGCGCGAAAGCGUGGGGAGCGAACCGGAUUAGAUACCCGGGUAGUCCACGCCGUAAACGAUGAGAACUAGCUGUCGGGGGUAUCGACCCCUCCGGUAGCGAAGCUAACGCGAUAAGUUCUCCGCCUGGGGACUACGGCCGCAAGGCUAAAACUCAAAUGAAUUGACGGGG
rnacentral:rRNA from 1 species